rnacentral:rRNA from 1 species
AAUUCGACGCAACGCGCAGAACCUUACCUAGACUUGACAUCCCGGGGAUUUUCUGGAAACAGAGAAGUGCUUUAGCAAUAAAGAACCCGGUGACAGGUGCUGCAUGGCUGUCGUCAGCUCGUGUCGUGAGAUGUUGGGUUAAGUCCCGCAACGAGCGCAACCCUCGCCUUUAGUUGCCAGCAUUCAGUUGGGCACUCUAGAGGGACUGCCGGUGUCAAACCGGAGGAAGGUGGGGAUGACGUCAAGUCCUCAUGGCCUUUAUGUCUAGGGCUACACACGUACUACAAUGGCCGGUACAAAGGGCAGCCACUCAGCGAUGAGGCGCUAAUCCCAUAAAGCCGGUCUCAGUCCGGAUCGCAGUCUGCAACUCGACUGCGUGAAGUUGGAAUCGCUAGUAAUCAUAGAUCAGCAUGCUACGGUGAAUACGUUCCCGGGCCUU